CCUGAGAUCAAGACCUGAGCUGAGAUCAAGAGUUGGAUGCUUAAAUGACUGAGGCACCCAGGGCAACUCCACUUGCUGUUUCUUGGCAUGACAUCCACCAUGGCACUCUUCAGCAUUCUCUUCAGCUCCUAAGAGAGGUGUUCCGUGAUCAAGCCUACUUGAAACACCUUCUCCAUCUCCAUCCUCUGCUUCAUUCUGUCUCUCAGAAGAUCAAGAGAUCCAGCUCUCCAGAGUGGAGACUUAUCCUGUCCUCUCUCUUUUCUGCCUGGUGAUCUGUUUGAAAGUCAUCAAUUAUGUCACAAGCCUCACCCAAGAUAUGACUUCGAACUAGAGUUGUGAAAGAAUGUACUUGCUCCUUUGUGUGAUUCCUGAAAUUUUCACCUUGGGACUGGCCCCGGUCAGAUCUGGGGCUCACUUUGAUCCUUCACCAGGAGGAUUGGCUGGUAGAGGCUCAGGAAAGACUGUCAUUGCAGGCAAAAUAACUGGCUUGAUACCAGAAAAUAUGGAUUCUGUUUUUCAUGCCCAGUGUGACCUGGGGCAAAGCACACACAUGCACAUGUGCACACACACAAUCUCUGAACUGCAAUUUCUUCAUUUUUUAUCUAUUCAAUAAAUAGUUAUUGAAGAUCUACUCUGGGCAUGUUAGCUGAAAAAAGAGGGUAAUCAAAUUUUCUCUCUUAUCUCACAACAGAACCGUGGAGCUCAGAUGAGAUAAAUGAAAAGAUAUUAAAGUACUAUUGUAUGUAAAUUUAAGAGUCAAUAGUGAUAUAAUGCUAGGCCUUGUACCAUGGAAUGUGCCUAAUAAGCAG